rnacentral:rRNA from 1 species
GGACCAUCAUGUUGGUCGUGCCUAGGUACGUACUGGCAUUGUUGGUUUCUCCCUUCUGACGAACCAUGAAGUCAUUUAUUUGGUGUUGUGGGGAAUCAGGACUGCUACUUUGAAAAAAUUAGAGUGUUUAAAGCAGGCUCACGCUUGAAUACAUUAGCAUGGAAUAACGAAAUAGGACGUUUGAUUCUAUUUUGUUGGUUUCUAGAAUCGACGUA